rnacentral:rRNA from 1 species
AUUGAACGCUGGCGGCAGGCCUAACACAUGCAAGUCGAGCGGAUGAAGGGAGCUUGCUCCUGGAUUCAGCGGCGGACGGGUGAGUAAUGCCUAGGAAUCUGCCUGGUAGUGGGGGAUAACGUCCGGAAACGGGCGCUAAUACCGCAUACGUCCUGAGGGAGAAAGUGGGGGAUCUUCGGACCUCACGCUAUCAGAUGAGCCUAGGUCGGAUUAGCUAGUUGGUGGGGUAAAGGCCUACCAAGGCGACGAUCCGUAACUGGUCUGAGAGGAUGAUCAGUCACACUGGAACUGAGACACGGUCCAGACUCCUACGGGAGGCAGCAGUGGGGAAUAUUGGACAAUGGGCGAAAGCCUGAUCCAGCCAUGCCGCGUGUGUGAAGAAGGUCUUCGGAUUGUAAAGCACUUUAAGUUGGGAGGAAGGGCAGUAAGUUAAUACCUUGCUGUUUUGAC